UACGUAGGGUGCGAGCGUUAAUCGGAAUUACUGGGCGUAAAGUGUGCGCAGGCGGCCGAGCAAGUCGAGUGUGAAAGCCCCGAGCUUAACUUGGGAACUGCGCUCGAAACUACUUGGCUAGAGUGUGGCAGAGGGAGGUGGAAUUCCACGUGCAGCGGUGAAAUGCGUAGAGAUGUGGAGGAACACCGAUGGCGAAGGCAGCCUCCUGGGCCAACACUGACGCUCAUGCACGAAAGCGUGGGGAGCAAACAGG
rnacentral:rRNA from 1 species